GCAGAAAGGCAAGACCAUGGCUGGGUUUCUAAGUGGACUGGUGUGUUGAAGUGUUGCAUAGAAGAUGAGGGUAGGAUGAUGGUGAGUGUGGAUGUCAUGUGUGCACAUAUGUGAUAUGUGACCCCAUCAUGUGCAUCUGUUCUUCCACCCCUAUACUUACAUCUUUAGCUUAAUUCAUUGGGUUCUUAUCUCUGCAGCACUGAAAUACCAGGAAGUGAAAAGCUGCCCUCCUUUGAAGCCCCAUCCUCUUGGCACUAUGCAAUAGAGUCAAGGUUAUGAAGGUCCUGUGGCUAUAGAGCUUCAGAAGUAACAAAUUCAUCAGACAGACAAAGCUUGGAGUUUCUGAGUCCAAGGAUUACUGAGGUAGUUCUUAAAUGG